rnacentral:tRNA from 1 species
CGGUGAGUGGCGCAGCUUGGUAGCGCACUUGGUCGCAGGUUCAAAUCCUGUCUCACCGACCA